rnacentral:rRNA from 1 species
GAUGAACGCUGGCGGCGUGCCUAAUACAUGCAAGUCGAGCGAACGGACGAGAAGCUUGCUUCUCUGAUGUUAGCGGCGGACGGGUGAGUAACACGUGGAUAACCUACCUAUAAGACUGGGAUAACUUCGGGAAACCGGAGCUAAUACCGGAUAAUAUUUUGAACCGCAUGGUUCAAAAGUGAAAGACGGUCUUGCUGUCACUUAUAGAUGGAUCCGCGCUGCAUUAGCUAGUUGGUAAGGUAACGGCUUACCAAGGCAACGAUGCAUAGCCGACCUGAGAGGGUGAUCGGCCACACUGGAACUGAGACACGGUCCAGACUCCUACGGGAGGCAGCAGUAGGGAAUCUUCCGCAAUGGGCGAAAGCCUGACGGAGCAACGCCGCGUGAGUGAUGAAGGUCUUCGGAUCGUAAAACUCUGUUAUUAGGGAAGAACAUAUGUGUAAGUAACUGUGCACAUCUUGACGGUACCUAAUCAGAAAGCCACGGCUAACUACGUGCCAGCAGCCGCGGUAAUACGUAGGUGGCAAGCGUUAUCCGGAAUUAUUGGGCGUAAAGCGCGCGUAGGCGGUUUUUUAAGUCUGAUGUGAAAGCCCACGGCUCAACCGUGGAGGGUCAUUGGAAACUGGAAAACUUGAGUGCAGAAGAGGAAAGUGGAAUUCCAUGUGUAGCGGUGAAAUGCGCAGAGAUAUGGAGGAACACCAGUGGCGAAGGCGACUUUCUGGUCUGUAACUGACGCUGAUGUGCGAAAGCGUGGGGAUCAAACAGGAUUAGAUACCCUGGUAGUCCACGCCGUAAACGAUGAGUGCUAAGUGUUAGGGGGUUUCCGCCCCUUAGUGCUGCAGCUAACGCAUUAAGCACUCCGCCUGGGGAGUACGACCGCAAGGUUGAAACUCAAAGGAAUUGACGGGGACCCGCACAAGCGGUGGAGCAUGUGGUUUAAUUCGAAGCAACGCGAAGAACCUUACCAAAUCUUGACAUCCUUUGACAACUCUAGAGAUAGAGCCUUCCCCUUCGGGGGACAAAGUGACAGGUGGUGCAUGGUUGUCGUCAGCUCGUGUCGUGAGAUGUUGGGUUAAGUCCCGCAACGAGCGCAACCCUUAAGCUUAGUUGCCAUCAUUAAGUUGGGCACUCUAAGUUGACUGCCGGUGACAAACCGGAGGAAGGUGGGGAUGACGUCAAAUCAUCAUGCCCCUUAUGAUUUGGGCUACACACGUGCUACAAUGGACAAUACAAAGGGCAGCGAAACCGCGAGGUCAAGCAAAUCCCACAAAGUUGUUCUCAGUUCGGAUUGUAGUCUGCAACUCGACUACACGAAGCUGGAAUCGCUAGUAAUCGUAGAUCAGCAUGCUACGGUGAAUACGUUCCCGGGUCU